GCGGCUCUACCCAAGUCUGGCUGAAGGGACCGGUCUUGAAAACCGGAAGGCAUCGCAAGGUGUGCGGGGGUUCGAAUCCCUCGAGCCGCG
rnacentral:tRNA from 1 species